rnacentral:misc_RNA from 1 species
AUUGAAUCUUGAAUUCGUUUGUGACAAACAACAAAUCGAUGUCACAGAAAAUGUGUAUGCUAAUCUUGCAGUACUAUAAUAAUCAAUAGAUAAAUAAAAAGAUCUAAGUUCUUGACAACAUCUAAGUUUUCGGAGAUAACAGAUUAGUUACAAUUCUAUUACUUGACAACAUCUAAGUUCUUCCCUGCUUUGUUUAUCUAUACGGGAAACAGAUACUUAGCUGUAGCUGCAAUUGGCAUAAAGAAGUUCUUACUCAUGUAUUAGCUCUCCUUCACAGUCAGGAGCCUCUUCAUUGACAUUGUUUAUUUCAGUCUUGGACUUAUGAUCAUCAAGAUAGUGCUGAUAGACAUAUGAAACAAAGCCCCAUAUAGCCAAAACCAUGGCAAUCACCUUCAGACCAUCCAUUUUGUCAUGGAAAAUGAAGACGGCGAGCACAGGGACAAUAGGCAGACCAAAAGUACUAAUGACAUUAGAGAAGAGUGAAGACACUUCAAAGAUCAAUCCUGUACACCCAAUAUUAAAAACCUGCCAACUUAUAGCUGUCCAAAUCAAAGUCAUUAGGUAGGACACAUUUCCCAGCUCAUACUCCUCCAAAUCUCUCCUUAAUCCCUUCCAUUCUCCGCUCGCAAAAAGUCCCACCAGGAUAGCUAGAGUGGCGACGAGUGAUGGGUAGACAAUCAUAUCCAAAACCACCUUGAAAUUUUCCUGUUUUAACACCUUAUUGAAACAGAAUUGUAUUAAAGAAAGCAUCAAUCCAUACCCAGCAGAAGCACCAAGAGUGCAUAUAAAUCCAAUCACAAACUUCCCUUUGGAGACUGGUUUUGAUUCUGUAGAGUCACUUUGGAAUACAAGGAGGAUAGAGGAGAUGGUGAGAAGAACUACAGAAUUGACAAUGAAAGGAGUAAACUUUUGUGAAUUGAUGAAGAAGGAAAAUAAAGCGUUGAAGCCUAAUUGUGAUGCACAUAUUAGAGUGUAAGUGGACACUGGCAGGUAUAGGAGUCCAACUGAAUAAAGCAUACUGUUUGCUGCUAGAAAUAUUCCAAGCAUGGUAUAAAUAGAUACAAGCACCAACUUCGAGGGUGAAUUUGCAUUAAUAUCGUUUGUGGUGGGAUUUUUGAGUGGUGAUAUGAAGUAAAGGAGAAAGAUUAAAGGGAAGGCAGCAGUUUGCACAAAUGUUUCCAUCCACUUGUUGUUUCCACCUUUGUCAAAAUAUAGUCUUCCCAAGAUUGUAGCCACUGUCUGGCCAGCAAGAAGGAAGAAUGUGAAGGUGGCUAUUCGGAGCCACUCAAUAAUGUUCUUUUGUUGGAGUAUCUGCUGGUUGGCCACAUUGGUGUGCUCAGUUGCGGUUGCCUCUUCAGCUUCCUGCCCUGGCAAGGGAACAUAUAGAAUGACUGGUACAACAUCAAUAACUCAUGCAAAAUGCUCCUCAACACUUUUAAUCGAAGCUAAGCUAGCUCAUAGUUGCAUUUCUCGGGUUUACUAAAUGAAGAAGUAGAAUAUCACCUUAGCAAAGAGCUCUUGAAUUUUCACCUUUUCUCAUUAAAUUAAGAUUGACAAAUUGCUUGGAAAAUAUUUCAAUUCAUAUGAUAAUUCUAUUUCAACGCAAAAUUAUGAUUGGUGCUAUAAGUUUAUGUUGUGACCUGGUCACAAGUAAGCAGAAGAAUGGAGGAAAGGGGAGAGAAACAGAAGAAAGAGAAGGAGGAGAGAAAGAAAGAGAGAUAUAGAAAUUGUAUCCAUUCAUCUUGAAUAGAAAAUACAGGCCCUAUCUCCUAUUUAUCUCCUGUUUCAGUUAUCCAUUACAGUAAUUAAUAAACCUCAUAUACUAUUCUCUAACUAAUCCUAAUAUUACCCUCCCAUGAUAAUUGUUGAAUCUUUGCAUAGUAAUUUCAAGAAAGGCAACUCAGUCAUUUUCACAAAUGACCUUCAUGGCAGAGGUCCGUUAGGGAUAAAGAUUCAUCUUCUUCCUUCCGUUCUCCACAUUUCAAACUUUCCUUUUUAAGGAUCACAAUCACAAGAUUAUUCAGUUGCAAUUCCAAAUCACAACUACCAAAAGAUUGAUGCCAUUUUUCACAAUAUACUGUUUCUAUUGUUUCAUUUUUUUUCCCUUAUCAAGAACAGCCCCGCAACAAGAAAAAAUUCUGAUGUAAAGCUUCUUAAGAGUAUAAUCAAAUUUAUCUAACAACACUCCAUGAUCAUUUUCAAGAAUUUCAGUAGAUUGAAGGGCAACAAAUGUAUAAUUAUUACCAUCUUUAAUUGAAGAUUCCAUAUAUGUUGUAUAGAUUUCAUCUUUAUUAAAUUUCUUCGUACCAAAAUACUUGAGAGGCAUUAAAAUUUGCUUUCAAACUUGUACAUAUUACCUCCAGCAAAUCCUUGAAAUGGAAGAAUUUAAUUUGAGAGCAGGAACUUAUCAUCAUUGCCAUCACAAUCUUGAUCUUCUUCUCGAAGAUUGGAACAACCAAAGUUGGUGGAAUUUUUUUCGCGGAAACCAUGAUUGCCGCAAGAAUCGUGAUCUUCUUUUCAAGAUUGGGCCAAUUAUUUUCAAGGAAAAUAUUUUUCAUUGUUCGGUUUCAAUGUCAAACUAAUAAUCCACUUUUUUGUUCUAUUUCCUGUUGAAUCUGCUCCACUCUGAUAAGAAAUUUCUAUUGUGCUUCUUGAUUAUGGUAAAAUGCUUCAUUAGCUUUACUAGAAUUGAUUGCCUUAAGCUUCUUAUUCUCAACCAUGGUUAUUGAAGCAAAUAGAGAAAAGAAAGAGCAAGAAUAUAAAAGGAAAAGAAUGAUAAAAGAGAGAGAUUGAGAGAGAAAAUUUAGGGGGAGAGAGAAAUUAUAUUGAUUAAUCUUGAAUGAAUAGAAAACAAGCCCCUAUCUCCCAUUUCAAUUACCCAAUACAGUAACUAAUAAAUCCCACCUAACUAAUCCUAACAGUUUAUAAGUAGAUUAUUCUAUAUCAAGUAUGCAUCUCUCUUAUAUGACUUGAAUCACUCAAAGAAAAGGAACUGAAGGGUAAUUUUGGUCAAGUAAAAGCUUGCUUACCCGAGAUGUCUAGUUGCUCUUCUCGAGCCUCUCCCAUAUCUAAGUUGGAGAAGUCAAAAUAAUCAACCCUGAAGAGAGAGAGAGAGAGACCUAGAAUUCUUAGUUUAUUUCAAACAAUGGCGACUUUCAUGAGUUUCAGAAAUUAUUCUAAAAUGUAUAAUUUUAGGUUUUGGGCAGUCGUCAGCCAAAGGAUUCCAUUUGGCAUUGGUGACCCCUCCAUGUCCUCUAGCAGGGACCAUGACUUAAUUCAUGAACCCCAACAAGGCGUUUCAAAUUGGAUUUUGUUUGAACUUGAAUAGUAAUAUCAUUUAUCAUAAGGCCGUAUUAGGCGAUGCGAGAAAUCAGGGAGAAGCCGUGGAUUUGUGAGACUUGAAUUGGCUUGGCUUGGCUUGCAUGCUUAUUUCUUUGUCAUUAACGGCUUCAAAUCUUGAUUAGAAUUUGUAGGUUUGUGCAAAAUUGAGUACUCUUUUCAAGUCCUUAACAUCUAAUCUCUGUACCCACCCACGAUAAAAUGACCAAUUGCACUUUCUAAUAUGCGUUAUUAGGACAAAGCAAUUCUGAUAGCUACUCAACUAAAGGCCCAGCCUCAUUACCCAAAC